UUUAAAUAGAUACCUAUUUAUUAAAUUAUUAUUAUGAAGUAGCAGACCCGCAGAUAUUAUAUAGGUAAUAAACAGUAAAUAGAAUCUAUAGAUAAAUAUGUAAUUUAUUUACCUAAGAAUCUACAAACCUUAACUAAGUGUAUAGUUAACAGCACGUAUACAUAUAUUAAUAUUUAUUAUAUUUAGAUACCUACUAGUGCCCUACACGGGCCGGGCUGAGCCAGUUUACUCUGUGUUAUUUAUUCAGGCCAGAAAGCCCUGUACUAAGUGACAACUCAGUUUUCCAGGCUGGGUUGGGUCAAAAAACAACUAAUUAUACGAAAUAGCCAAGCCAGGCUUACGUAUCAUUUAUAAUUCAAGCUAAUCCAAACAAAAAUUAAAUAAAUUUAAUUUUACUCUUUAACAAAUGUAAUUUUUUAAUUCGAAGGAUAGCGUGGAAUGAAUUGGUUUUACGAUAAUGUUUAUUUUUUUUUCUGUGAGCAACUUUUCUACUAGAAAUCUUGCUCCAUGUAUCAAGUGUAGCACUUUUUCUGAAAAGUUAUAUUUUGAUUUUCCAAGCGGUUUUCAUAAUAAUUCAGAAAAAUACGUAGGGAAAAAGGGAAAAUUUAGUUUUCUACUAUUUAGUUUGUAAC